rnacentral:rRNA from 1 species
AACGAACGCUGGCGGCAUGCCUAACACAUGCAGGUCGAACGAGACCUUCGGGUCUAGUGGCGCACGGGUGCGUAACGCGUGGGAACCUGCCCUUAGGUUCGGAAUAACUCCCCGAAAGGGGUGCUAAUACCGGAUAAUGUCUUCGGACCAAAGAUUUAUCGCCUUUGGAUGGGCCCGCGUUGGAUUAGCUAGUUGGUAGGGUAAAAGCCUACCAAGGCGACGAUCCAUAGCUGGUCUGAGAGGAUGAUCAGCCACACUGGGACUGAGACACGGCCCAGACUCCUACGGGAGGCAGCAGUGGGGAAUAUUGGACAAUGGGCGAAAGCCUGAUCCAGCAAUGCCGCGUGAGUGAUGAAGGCCUUAGGGUUGUAAAGCUCUUUUAACCGGGAUGAUAAUGACAGUACCAGGAGAAUAAGCGCCGGCUAACUCCGUG